UUGGAUUUUUAGGAUUUAUUGUACGAGCACAUCAUAUAUUUACUGUAGGAUUAGAUAUUGAUGCACGAGCAUAUUUUACAUCAGCAACAAUAAUUAUUGCAAUUCCAACAGGAAUUAAAGUUUUUAGAUGAUUAGCUACAUAUAAUGGAUUU